CAGCAGCCGCGGUAAUACGUAGGUCCCGAGCGUUGUCCGGAUUUAUUGGGCGUAAAGCGAGCGCAGGCGGUUAGAUAAGUCUGAAGUUAAAGGCUAUGGCUUAACCAUAGUACGCUUUGGAAACUGUUUAACUUGAGUGCAAGAGGGGAGAGUGGAAUUCCAUGUGUAGCGGUGAAAUGCGUAGAUACAUGGAGGAACACCGGUGGCGAAAGCGGCUCUCUGGCUUGUAACUGACGCUGAGGCUCGAAAGCGUGGGGCGCAAACAGGAUUAGAGACCCCUGUAGUCCCUGUCUCUUAUACA
rnacentral:rRNA from 1 species